AACGAACGCUGGCGGCAUGCCUAACACAUGCAAGUCGAACGAGACCUUCGGGUCUAGUGGCGCACGGGUGCGUAACGCGUGGGAAUCUGCCCUUUGCUAUGGAAUAACUCGGGGAAACUCGUGCUAAUACCGUAUGAUGUCGCAAGACCAAAGAUUUAUCGGCAAGGGAUGAGCCCGCGUAGGAUUAGCUUGUUGGUGAGGUAAAGGCUCACCAAGGCGACGAUCCUUAGCUGGUCUGAGAGGAUGAUCAGCCACACUGGGACUGAGACACGGCCCAGACUCCUACGGGAGGCAGCAGUGGGGAAUAUUGGACAAUGGGCGAAAGCCUGAUCCAGCAAUGCCGCGUGAGUGAUGAAGGCCUUAGGGUUGUAAAGCUCUUUUACCCGGGAAGAUAAUGACUGUACCGGGAGAAUAAGCUCCGGCUAACUCCGUGCCAGCCGCCGCUGUAAG
rnacentral:rRNA from 1 species